UACGUAGGGCGCAAGCGUUGUCCGGAAUUAUUGGGCGUAAAGAGCUCGUAGGCGGUUCGUCGCGUCGGCUGUGAAAACCUGAGGCUCAACCUCAGGCCUGCAGUCGAUACGGGCGGACUUGAGUACUGCAGGGGAGACUGGAAUUCCUGGUGUAGCGGUGAAAUGCGCAGAUAUCAGGAGGAACACCGGUGGCGAAGGCGGGUCUCUGGGCAGUAACUGACGCUGAGGAGCGAAAGCGUGGGGAGCGAACAGG
rnacentral:rRNA from 1 species